rnacentral:rRNA from 1 species
CGGGGGGAGCAAGCGUUGUUCGGAUUUACUGGGCGUAAAGGGCGCGUAGGCGGCCACCGCAAGUCGACUGUGAAAUCUCCGGGCUUAACCCGGAAAGGUCAGCCGAUACUGCGGGGCUAGAGUGCAGAAGGGGCAACUGGAAUUCUCGGUGUAGCGGUGAAAUGCGUAGAUAUCGAGAGGAACACCUGCGGCGAAGGCGGGUUGCUGGGCUGACACUGACGCUGAUGCGCGAAAGCUAGGGGAGCGAACGGGAUUAGAUACCCCGGUAGUCCUAGCCUUAAACGAUGAAUGCUUGGUGUCUGGGGUUUUAUAGUCCCCGGGUGCCGUCGCUAACGCUUUAAGCAUUCCGCCUGGGGAGUACGGUCGCAAGACUG